UACGGGGGGGGCAAGCGUUGUUCGGAAUUACUGGGCGUAAAGGGCUCGUAGGUGGCCAACUAAGUCAGCCGUGAAAUCCCUCGGCUUAACCGGGGAACUGCGUCUGAUACUGGAUGGCUUGAGUUUGGGAGAGGGAUGCGGAAUUCCAGGUGUAGCGGUGAAAUGCGUAGAUAUCUGGAGGAACACCGGUGGCGAAGGCGGCAUCCUGGACCAACACUGACACUGAGGAGCGAAAGCCAGGGGAGCAAACGGG
rnacentral:rRNA from 1 species